rnacentral:rRNA from 1 species
CCCUUAGAUGUUCUGGGCCGCACGCGUGCUACACUGAGUGGAUCAGCGGGUCAGGUUGCGCGAAAGUGUUUCCUAAUCUUGAAAUCCGCUCGUGAUGGGGAUUGACGGUUGCAAUUUUCCGUCAUGAACGAGGAAUAACUUGUAAGCGCGGGUCAUCAUCCCGCGCUGAAUACGUCCCUGCCCUUUGUACACACCGCCCGUCGCUCCUACCGAUUGAGUGGUCCGGUGAGGCUUUGGGAUCUGAGCGGAAAGAGCGUUUCGCUGUUUCUGCUCGGAAAACUCAGUCGAACCUUAUCAUUUAGAGGAAGGAGAAGUCGUAACA